CCUUGCCAGCCCGCUCAGAACUUAAGGAAUUGACGGGGGCCCGCACAAGCGGUGGAGCAUGUGGUUUAAUUCGAUGAUACGCGAGGAACCUUACCUGGGCUCAAAUGUAUGUUGACGUAUUCUGAAAGGGAUACUUCUUCGGACAAUAUACAAGGUGCUGCAUGGUUGUCGCCAGCUCGUGCCGUGAGGUGUCGGGUUAAGUCCCAUAACGAGCGCAACCCCUAUCAUUAGUUGCCAUCAGGUCAAGCUGGGGACUCUAAUGAAACUGCCUACGCAAGUAGUGAGGAAGGUGGGGAUGACGUCAAAUCAGCACGGCCCUUACGUCCAGGGCUACACACGUGCUACAAUGGCCGGUACAAAGGGCAGCUACCUGGUGACAGGAUGCUAAUCUCAAAAGCCGGUCUCAGUUCGGAUCGGAGUCUGCAACCCGACUCCGUGAAGUCGGAGUCGCUAGUAAUCGCAGAUCAGCAACGCUGCGGUGAAUACGUUCCCGGGCCUU
rnacentral:rRNA from 1 species